GUCCCCUUGCCGGCUCCACUGGGAGUUUCUAAGGAGUGAGAAGCUCUUUGGAUCUUAGGAACUGAAUCUUAGAAUUUUAUUUUUCAUUUGCACGGUGGGGGCGGGUGACUGCACUGCCUGCACCCCACAACUCCCUACUCAGCGAAUAACGACUGUAGACACCACUGUACCAGGACUCGCUUGAACGCGAAUUAUUUUUCAUUAAUCCUCAAAAUGACCGAGCCAGGUGGGUAGUUCUGUAACCCCCAUUUGAGUAAACUGAGACCCAUAGAAGGGAAGCUCUGAAUCAGGGAACACGCAUGCCUCGGCCACCGCAGCGGUAAGAGCCUGUGGUCCGAGCUGGAGAGAGAUGUGUUAUUUAUUUAUUUAUUUAUCUAUCUAUCAAUCAUUUUCUGCAGUGCUGGGAUGGAACCCUGGAGCAUGGCGGUCCUGCCCUCUUAGCCCUUUCCUGCUUUCCAGAUGGGAAAAGGAAGUAAGCAAAAAAAUAAACAAGUCUGCACGAGGGUGACAAAGGAAGCCCGAGGAGGGCAGCCGGCAGAGGGUCCCCAGUCCUCCCCUGGGCAGGUCCCCUCCAGGCGUCCCGCUGAGCGCCUCUGGGGCCACAACCCUCCCGCAGUCUGCAGAGGCGGGGGCUCCCCGUCUCCCGCUCCCCACAACUUGAAUUUUUAAUGUGGCUCCACAGAACAAAGCAGAGUUUCUGUUUCGAGAGCUCAAAACCCAUUUCUCAAGUCUGAGCGGCCCUGCCUGAAGAGGCCGCGGCCGGCAGGGCCUGGGCCGUGGGUCGUCCUCAGCUGUCCCCAGGCUCCUUCCCAAUCUUGUUUAAUUAAAAAGCAAAAAAGAGGCCGAGUAGAA
rnacentral:lncRNA from 1 species